rnacentral:rRNA from 1 species
UGGGGAAUUUUGGACAAUGGGGGCAACCCUGAUCCAGCCAUCCCGCGUGUGCGAUGAAGGCCUUCGGGUUGUAAAGCACUUUUGGCAGGGAAGAAACAGCCUGGGCUAAUAUCCCGGGCGACUGACGGUACCUGCAGAAUAAGCACCGGCUAACUACGUGCCAGCAGCCGCGGUAAUACGUAGGGUGCAAGCGUUAAUCGGAAUUACUGGGCGUAAAGCGUGCGCAGGCGGUUCGGAAAGAAAGGUGUGAAAUCCCAGGGCUUAACCUUGGAACUGCACGUUUAACUACCGGGCUAGAGUACGUCAGAGGGGGGUAGAAUUCCACGUGUAGCAGUGAAAUGCGUAGAGAUGUGGAGGAAUACCGAUGGCGAAGGCAGCCCCCUGGGAUGAUACUGACGCUCAUGCACGAAAGCGUGGGGAGCAAACA